GGUGUGGCUUAGUGGUAAGUGCUUGUCUGGCUUGCAUGAGGUCUUGGGUUCAAAUCCCAAGCACCA
rnacentral:tRNA from 1 species